rnacentral:rRNA from 1 species
AACGAACGCUGGCGGCAUGCCUAACACAUGCAAGUCGAACGAGACCUUCGGGUCUAGUGGCGCACGGGUGCGUAACGCGUGGGAACCUGCCCUUAGGUUCGGAAUAACUCCCCGAAAGGGGUGCUAAUACCGGAUAAUGUCUUCGGACCAAAGAUUUAUCGCCUUUGGAUGGGCCCGCGUUGGAUUAGCUAGUUGGUAGGGUAAAAGCCUACCAAGGCGACGAUCCAUAGCUGGUCUGAGAGGAUGAUCAGCCACACUGGGACUGAGACACGGCCCAGACUCCGACGGAAGGCAGCAGUGGGGAAUAUUGGACGAUGGGCGAAAGCCUGAUCCAGCAAUGCCGCGUGAGUGAUGAAGGCCUUAGGGUUGUAAAGCUCUUUUACCCGGGAUGAUAAUGACAGUACCGGGAGAAUAAGCACCGGCUAACUCCGUG